rfam:Glycine max cultivar Williams 82 chromosome 11, whole genome shotgun sequence.
UGCAAUCUGUGAUGACAUUUCAAUAAUGUGCUGAUUGUCUGUGAUUAUUAUCUAAAUAUCACCAUCUUUCGGCUGAGAUUGCA